AAUCUGGAAGCCCCUAACACAGAGACUGCAAAGCUGGGAUCUGACAGAGACUUGCCCGCCACCUCCAGAGACAACUGGACGGCAGCGAACGAACCCAAGGGCCUCGGCAGUUAUCUGACCUAGACUCUGCCAAUCAAAAUACAUCUGUGCCACAAUUUGAAGAUCUGAAAAGGAAGAUGUAUGUCCAAGCCUACAAAAUUCAUGUCCUUGAACAGAACUGGCUCAAUGCAUCUCAUCUCACAUGAAGAUAUUUCUCUUCUCCACCUGGAUGCCACAAGAUGAUCAGAUGUCAUAUUUGCACUUAUUUUUAACCACCUUGUUCCUGACUUGUGUUUCCUGAAACUUGACUGUAGUAGACAUUUUCCAGGUAGAGGAAGGGAAGAGGAUUCCAGGCCAGGAAAUCGGCCUUGUCUUGAUCAGAUUCACUCCCCAUAUUUGAGAGUCCUCUCUUUCUGGCCAUCAGAAGAGCCACUGUAAAUCAACAACUGGCCCUAAACAAGAGUGCUCCCAUAAGGGGGCAUGUAGAGGCUGAAAUCCAGCACCAGUUCUGCUCUUGAGGUCGUGGAACUGACAGGCAGCAAUGUCCAGCCCCAAAAUAAAGCAUCUGGCUCUUUCCAUACCAAGACACUUUUUAGGUUAUCAGAGGCCACGUGGCCCAAUAGGAAAAAAUAGGCCUAUAUGACACGGUCCUAUUUUGGUUGAAAAGAAUAAUGACAAAAGAGAAUAAAUUUGUCUAGAAGAAAAGGAGUUGAACUCUAGGACAAAAACAAAAUGUGAUUUUAUAUAAAAUAAUACAGUGUGUGGG